ensembl:misc_RNA Metazoa_SRP Metazoan signal recognition particle RNA
GCCAGACGUGGUGAUGUGUACCUGUAGUCCCAUCUACUUGGAGGCUGAGGUGGGAGGAUCACUUGAGCCCAGGAGUUUGAGGCUGUGGUGAGCUAGGAUUGAGCCACUGCACUCCAGCCUGGGCAACAGAGUGAGACCUUGCCUCUA